rnacentral:lncRNA from 1 species
AACGUUUCGAGGCUUCCAAGCGUGUGCGACAUCUGUAAGCGGACCGAACGGCGCGUUUGCGACGUCCCGUGUCCAGGAAGAUCUCUGUGCAGCAAUAUCAAGUGUCCUUCCGCCCCAGAACGAACUUUUUAGCGGCUGGGCUGGCUGCAGCCGAUCUCGCUUUUAGCGGAGAUUUUUUUCUGGAAUCCCCGGCUUUUCCAAUUCAAAGUUCCGGACAGAGCCUGAAAGGGCACUGUUGGAGGGAAGCGUUUCCCGUCCGAAGGCAGCCGUCCAAGCUAGACCCGUUUUGUAUGCGGGAACGGGGGUCUGCGUUUGCGCGAAGCUUCGAGCCGUCACUCUGCAUAAAGUGAAUUCUGGAGAGCCUUACGGAAGGGGCGAGCGCGUUUCCAGUUACCUUGCACGAGUGUGUAAAAAACGCGAGCUAAAGUCGUACUCACAGGGUAGUUUGGUUUUUUAACGAUAACGGAAAGGACAACCCCGCCCGGUGGUGGCGGGGUAAGGUGCACAUUGAAACAAGAGCGA